rnacentral:rRNA from 1 species
GCAAGUCGAACGCAGCACGGGUGCUGCACCUGGUGGCGAGUUGGCGAACGGGUGAGUAAUACAUCGGAACAUGGUCCUGUAGUGGGGGAUAGCCCGGCGAAAGCCGGAUUAAUACCGCAUACGAUCUACGGAUGAAAGCGGGGGACCUUCGGGCCUCGCGCUAUAGGGUUGGCCGAUGGCUGAUUAGCUAGUUGGUGGGGUAAAGGCACUACCAAGGCGACGAUCAGUAGCUGGUCUGAGAGGACGACCAGCCACACUGGGACUGAGACACGGCCCAGACUCCUACGGGAGGCAGCAGUGGGGAAUUUUGGACAAUGGGCGAAAGCCUGAUCCAGCAAUGCCGCGUGUGUGAAGAAGGCCUUCGGGUUGUAAAGCACUUUUGUCCGGAAAGAAAUCCUUGGUUCUAAUAUAGCCGGGGGAUGACGGUACCGGAAGAAUAAGCACCGGCUAACUACGUGCCAGCAGCCGCGGUAAUACGUAGGGUGCGAGCGUUAAUCGGAAUUACUGGGCGUAAAGCGUGCGCAGGCGGUUUGUUAAGACCGAUGUGAAAUCCCCGGGCUCAACCUGGGAACUGCAUUGGUGACUGGCAAGCUAGAGUAUGGCAGAGGGGGGUAGAAUUCCACGUGUAGCAGUGAAAUGCGUAGAGAUGUGGAGGAAUACCGAUGGCGAAGCAGCCCCUGGCCAAUACUGACGCUCAUGCCGAGCGUGGCA